AUUGAACGCUGGCGGCAUGCCUUACACAUGCAAGUCGAACGGCAGCGCGGACUUCGGUCUGGCGGCGAGUGGCGAACGGGUGAGUAAUGUAUCGGAACGUGCCCUAGAGUGGGGGAUAACGUAGCGAAAGUUACGCUAAUACCGCAUACGAUCUAUGGAUGAAAGUGGGGGACCGUAAGGCCUCACGCUCAUGGAGCGGCCGAUAUCUGAUUAGCUAGUAGGUAGGGUAAAAGCCUACCAAGGCGACGAUCAGUAGCUGGGCUGAGAGGACGACCAGCCACACUGGGACUGAGACACGGCCCAGACUCCUACGGGAGGCAGCAGUGGGGAAUUUUGGACAAUGGGGGCAACCCUGAUCCAGCAAUGCCGCGUGUGUGAAGAAGGCCGUCGGGUUGUAAAGCACUUUUGUCAGGAACGAAACGGUGGGGGCUAAUAUCCUCUGCUAAUGACGGUACCUGAAGAAUAAGCACCGGCUAACUACGUGCCAGCAGCCGCCGUAA
rnacentral:rRNA from 1 species